UACGAAGGGGGCUAGCGUUGCUCGGAAUUACUGGGCGUAAAGGGCGCGUAGGCGGCGCAUACAGUCAGGCGUGAAAUUCCUGGGCUCAACCUGGGGGCUGCGCUUGAUACGUAUGGGCUAGAGGACAGGAGAGGCUCGUGGAAUUCCCAGUGUAGAGGUGAAAUUCGUAGAUAUUGGGAAGAACACCGGUGGCGAAGGCGGCGAGCUGGCCUGUAACUGACGCUGAGGCGCGACAGCGUGGGGAGCAAACAGG
rnacentral:rRNA from 1 species